rnacentral:rRNA from 1 species
GACGAACGCUGGCGGCGUGCUUAACACAUGCAAGUCGAACGGUGAACCCCUUCGGGGGGGAUCAGUGGCGAACGGGUGAGUAACACGUGAGCAACCUGCCCCUGACUCUGGGAUAACCCCGGGAAACCGGAGCUAAUACCGGAUAUGACAUCUUCGGGCAUCCGAUGGGUGUGGAAAGAUUUAUCGGUUGGGGAUGGGCUCGCGGCCUAUCAGCUUGUUGGUGGGGUGAUGGCCUACCAAGGCGACGACGGGUAGCCGGCCUGAGAGGGCGACCGGCCACACUGGGACUGAGACACGGCCCAGACUCCUACGGGAGGCAGCAGUGGGGAAUAUUGCGCAAUGGGCGAAAGCCUGACGCAGCGACGCCGCGUGAGGGAUGACGGCCU